GACGAACGCUGGCGGCGUGCCUAAUACAUGCAAGUCGAACGAACUCUGGUAUUGAUUGGUGCUUGCAUCAUGAUUUACAUUUGAGUGAGUGGCGAACUGGUGAGUAACACGUGGGAAACCUGCCCAGAAGCGGGGGAUAACACCUGGAAACAGAUGCUAAUACCGCAUAACAACUUGGACCGCAUGGUCCGAGCUUGAAAGAUGGCUUCGGCUAUCACUUUUGGAUGGUCCCGCGGCGUAUUAGCUAGAUGGUGGGGUAACGGCUCACCAUGGCAAUGAUACGUAGCCGACCUGAGAGGGUAAUCGGCCACAUUGGGACUGAGACACGGCCCAAACUCCUACGGGAGGCAGCAGUAGGGAAUCUUCCACAAUGGACGAAAGUCUGAUGGAGCAACGCCGCGUGAGUGAAGAAGGGUUUCGGCUCGUAAAACUCUGUUGUUAAAGAAGAACAUAUCUGAGAGUAACUGUUCAGGUAUUGACGGUAUUUAACCAGAAAGCCACGGCUAACUACGUGCCAGCAGCCGCGGUAAUACGUAGGUGGCAAGCGUUGUCCGGAUUUAUUGGGCGUAAAGCGAGCGCAGGCGGUUUUUUAAGUCUGAUGUGAAAGCCUUCGGCUCAACCGAAGAAGUGCAUCGGAAACUGGGAAACUUGAGUGCAGAAGAGGACAGUGGAACUCCAUGUGUAGCGGUGAAAUGCGUAGAUAUAUGGAAGAACACCAGUGGCGAAGGCGGCUGUCUGGUCUGUAACUGACGCUGAGGCUCGAAAGUAUGGGUAGCAAACAGGAUUAGAUACCCUGGUAGUCCAUACCGUAAACGAUGAAUGCUAAGUGUUGGAGGGUUUCCGCCCUUCAGUGCUGCAGCUAACGCAUUAAGCAUUCCGCCUGGGGAGUACGGCCGCAAUGCUGAAACUCAAAGGAAUUGACGGGGGCCCGCACAAGCGGUGGAGCAUGUGGUUUAAUUCGAAGCUACGCGAAGAACCUUACCAGGUCUUGACAUACUAUGCAAAUCUAAGAGAUUAGACGUUCCCUUCGGGGACAUGGAUACAGGUGGUGCAUGGUUGUCGUCAGCUCGUGUCGUGAGAUGUUGGGUUAAGUCCCGCAACGAGCGCAACCCUUAUUAUCAGUUGCCAGCAUUAAGUUGGGCACUCUGGUGAGACUGCCGGUGACAAACCGGAGGAAGGUGGGGAUGACGUCAAAUCAUCAUGCCCCUUAUGGCCUGGGCUACACACGUGCUACAAUGGAUGGUACAACGAGUUGCGAACUCGCGAGAGUAAGCUAAUCUCUUAAAGCCAUUCUCAGUUCGGAUUGUAGGCUGCAACUCGCCUACAUGAAGUCGGAAUCGCUAGUAAUCGCGGAUCAGCAUGCCGCGGUGAAUACGUUCCCGGGCCUUGUACACACCGCCCGUCACACCAUGAGAGUUUGUAACACCCAAAGUCGGUGGGGUAACCUUUUAGGAACCAGCCGCCUAAGGUGGGACAGAUGAUUAGGGUG
rnacentral:rRNA from 1 species